GAUGAAGAACGAAGCGAAAUGCGAUACGUAAUGUGAAUUGCAGAAUUCAGUGAAUCAUCGAGUCUUUGAACGCACAUUGCGCCCCCUGGUAUUCCGGGGGGCAUGCCUGUCCGAGCGUCAUUGCUGCCCUCAAGCACGGCUUGUGUGUUGGGCCUCCGUCCUCCUCCCGGGGGACGGGCCCGAAAGGCAGCGGCGGCGCCGCGUCCGGUCCUCGAGCGUAUGGGGCUUCGUCACCCGCUCUUGUAGGCCCGGCCGGCGCUUGCCGACACAUCAAUCUUUUUUCCAGGUUGACCUCGGAUCAGGUAGGGAUACCCGCUGAACUUAAGCAUAUCAAUAAGCGGAGGA
rnacentral:misc_RNA from 1 species